GAUGAAGAACGCAGCGAAAUGCGAUAAGUAGUGUGAAUUGCAGAAUUCAGUGAAUCAUCGAAUCUUUGAACGCACAUUGCGCCCCUUGGUAUUCCAUGGGGCAUGCCUGUUCGAGCGUCAUUUGUACCUUCAAGCUCUGCUUGGUGUUGGGUGUUUGUCUCGCCUCUGCGUGUAGACUCGCCUUAAAACAAUUGGCAGCCGGCGUAUUGAUUUCGGAGCGCAGUACAUCUCGCGCUUUGCACUCAUAACGACGACGUCCAAAAGUACAUUUUUACACUCUUGACCUCGGAUCAGGUAGGGAUACCCGCUGAACUUAAGCAUAUCAAUAAGCGAGGA
rnacentral:misc_RNA from 1 species